rnacentral:lncRNA from 1 species
AUCACGUUGGCGUCUUCGUCUGAAGACAUUUGGUUUUCGCACUCUAACUUUAGUAAAAGUAAAUAGAAAUCUAUGAAAUUUAAACACAAGGUUUAUGACCAUAACAGGCAGGUUGGGAUUAAUUUUGGGUGUUUUGGUCCCAACAGUUUAGGAAUUAGGGGCCAAAAAGGUCCCAAAUAAGCAUUUUUCUUGGUUUUUUCGCACAAUAACUUUAGUAUAAGUAAACCGA